rnacentral:rRNA from 1 species
UACGGAGGGUGCAAGCGUUAAUCGGAAUUACUGGGCGUAAAGCGCACGUAGGUGGUUUGUUAAGCCAGCUGUGAAAUCCCCGGGCUCAACCUGGGCACUGCAGUUGGAACUGGCAAGCUAGAGUAGGGUAGAGGGGUGUGGAAUUCCAGGUGUAGCGGUGAAAUGCGUAGAUAUCUGGAGGAACAUCAGUGGCGAAGGCUACACCCUGGACUCAUACUGACACUGAGGUGCGAAAGCGUGGGGAGCAAACAGG